UACCUGCAGAAGAAGCGCCGGCUAACUACGUGCCAGCAGCCGCGGUAAUACGUAGGGCGCAAGCGUUGUCCGGAAUUAUUGGGCGUAAAGAGGCCUCGUAGGCGGUUUGUCGCGUCUGCUGUGAAAGGCCCGGGGCUCAACCCCGGGUCUGCAGUGGGUACGGGCAGACUAGAGUGCAGUAGGGGAGACUGGAAUUCCUGGUGUAGCGGUGAAAUGCGCAGAUAUCAGGAGGAACACCGAUGGCGAAGGGCAGGUCUCUGGGCUGUUACUGACGCUGAGGAGCGAAAGCAUGGGGAGCGAACAGGAUUAGAUACCCUGGUAGUCCAUGCCGUAAACGUUGGGCACUAGGUGUGGGGGACAUUCCACGUUUUCCGCGCCGUAGCUAACGCAUUAAGUGCCCCGCCUGGGGAGUACGGCCGCAAGGCUAAAACUCAAAGGAAUUGACGGGGGCCCGCACAAGCGGCGGAGCAUGCGGAUUAAUUCGAUGCAACGCGAAGAACCUUACCAAGGCUUGACAUUCACCGGACCGCCCCAGAGAUGGGGUUUCCCUUCGGGGCUGGUGGACAGGUGGUGCAUGGUUGUCGUCAGCUCGUGUCGUGAGAUGUUGGGUUAAGUCCCGCAACGAGCGCAACCCUCGUUCUAUGUUGCCAGCACGUGAUGGUGGGGACUCAUAGGAGACUGCCGGGGUCAACUCGGAGGAAGGUGGGGAUGACGUCAAAUCAUCAUGCCCCUUAUGUCUUGGGCUUCACGCAUGCUACAAUGGCCGGUACAAAGGGUUGCGAUACUGUGAGGUGGAGCUAAUCCCAAAAAGCCGGUCUCAGUUCGGAUUGAGGUCUGCAACUCGACCUCAUGAAGUCGGAGUCGCUAGUAAUCGCAGAUCAGCAACGCUGCGGUGAAUACGUUCCCGGGCCUUGUACACACCGCCCGUCAAGUCACGCAAAGUUGGUAACACCCGAAGCCGGGGUGGCCUAACCCCUUGUGGG
rnacentral:rRNA from 1 species